UACAGAGGGUGCGAGCGUUUGUUCGGAAUUAUUGGGCGUAAAGCGCUUGUAGGCGGCACGUCAAGUCGCGUGUGAAAUCCCCCAGGCUUAACCUGGGAAGUGCGCGCGAAAACUGACGAGCUUGAGUGCCGGAGAGGGUCGCGGAAUUCCCGGUGUAGAGGUGAAAUUCGUAGAUAUCGGAGGAAGACCAGCGUGUAGGCGGAGCGCC
rnacentral:rRNA from 1 species